rnacentral:rRNA from 1 species
AACUAACGCUGGCGGCGUGCCUAACACAUGCAAGUCGUACGAGAAAGCCGGCUUCGGCUGGUGAGUAAAGUGGCGCACGGGUGAGUAACGCGUGGAUAAUCUGCCCUUAAGUGUGGAAUAACGUACCGAAAGGUGCGCUAAUACCGCAUAAUGCCUGGCAACACAAGUUGUCCGGCCAAAGAAGGCCUCUGUUUACAAGCUUUCGCUUCAGGAUGAGUCCGCGUACCAUUAGCUUGUUGGUGGGGUAAUGGCCUACCAAGGCUGCGAUGGUUAGCUGGUCUGAGAGGAUGAUCAGCCACACUGGAACUGAGACACGGUCCAGACUCCUACGGGAGGCAGCAGUGAGGAAUAUUGCGCAAUGGGGGCAACCCUGACGCAGCAACGCCGCGUGAGUGAGGAAGGUUUUCGGACCGUAAAGCUCUGUCGAGUGGGAAGAAGUGUAUCAUGGCUAAUAUCCGUGAUAAUUUGACGGUACCGCUAGAGG